GAUGAAGAACGCAGCGAAAUGCGAUAAGUAAUGUGAAUUGCAGAAUUCAGUGAAUCAUCGAAUCUUUGAACGCACCUUGCACCCUUUGGCAUUCUGAAGGGUAUGCUCGUUUGAGUGUCAUUGUACUCUCACACUCCCGAUCUUUGCAUUGGGAGCAGUGGACUUGGGUUUGCUGCUUCACCGUCGCUUACCUCAAAUAGGUUAGUGCAACUCUUGGUUGGACAUAGUACGGCGUGAAAGUGUUCUUCGCCGGUGCCUCGCAAAGAGGGUGGCCGAUCGGGAUGUUGUGCUCCAAACCGUCUUCGGACAAUCUCUGACGACUUGACCUCAAAUCGAGUAAGACUACCCGCUGAACUUAAGCAUAUCAAUAAGCGGAGGA
rnacentral:misc_RNA from 1 species